UCUAUUUUGUAACCUAGCAAUCCCUCUCCCUCUCCCUCUAUAUAUUUCCCUCUCUACCUGCGACUCUUUUUUUUUCAGAAUCUUAAACGCCGCCGUAUCUCCGUUGCGAUCUCUGCCUUUUAGAAUUCUCAAUGGCUGACGGAAAAUUAGAUCUACCUGAUGAUCUCCUCUCCUCCAAAACCAGCUCUGAUCACUCCUCCCUCAAUGGUGAAGCACGGGAAAGGAAUCUGGAGGACAAGGGACUCACGGGGUUACUUGAGGACACCAAAGGUGAUGAUCUUUGUUGAAUAUUUAAGUUUUUUAACAUUAAAAGCUUGAACAGCUCUUUUAGUAUAAAAUUAAACCUUUUCUUUUUUGGCCAGUAGAUCAAGCAAUUUCAGAGAGCAACAUACCUUUGUCCCCACAGUGGCUUAUGCUAAACCGUCUGAUUCUAAGAUGUUAGCUGCUGGAACAUCUGGCUUAUGGAACUCAAUUUCUCUUAUUAAUGUUUUUAGGCCACUUACGUUCAUUUCCAUAUGAGACUUGAUGUGUUGAUGAUUUCUAGUCUUUUUUUAUCCUUAUGUGGUGGAAGUUUGGGAUAUAAGAACGUCAAAUUUGUUGCCCAAUAAAACCUCUGGUGAUCCCAAUCCAAAAGAUAGUUGGCAUUUGGAUGGGUCUUAACCUUGAGGUCGUGGGAUCGAGUCUCACGGAGGGCAUUUCAUAAUUCGGAGGCCUUCUACGGAAGCUGC